CACGUAGGGUGCGAGCGUUGUCCGGAAUUAUUGGGCGUAAAGAGCUCGUAGGCGGUCUGUCGCGUCGGUCGUGAAAACUUGGGGCUUAACCCUGAGCUUGCGGUCGAUACGGGCAUGACUGGAGUUCGGCAGGGGAGACUGGAAUUCCUGGUGUAGCGGUGAAAUGCGCAGAUAUCAGGAGGAACACCGAUGGCGAAGGCAGGUCUCUGGGCCACUACUGACGCUGAGAAGCGAAAGCAUGGGGAGCGAACAGG
rnacentral:rRNA from 1 species